rnacentral:rRNA from 1 species
GGUUACACUUAUAAUGCAAUGAAAAAUGUUCGGUAAUUAAUUAAUAAGUAUAGAUGAAUAAAUUUUUAGUUUUAUUGGGUGAAAUUUUUAAAAUUGAAAUAUAUUUUUGAGUAUUUUAUGAGGUUAUCAAGUUUAGGUUAAAAACUAGGAUUAGAUACCCUAUUAUUCUGAAUCAAAAGUCGGUUACUUGGCGAGUAGUAGUUAUGUUCUUGAAAAUUAAAAAAGAUGGCGGUGUUUUAGUCUAUUCAGAGGAACCUGUCCUGUUAUCGAUAGUCCACGAUUUUCUUUACUUAUUUUUUUAAUUUGCAUAUCGCCGUGGGUUGAAUAUUUUUAAAAAAGAUAAAUGUUCAAUAAGUUUUAUAAAAAAAAGAAUUCAGGUCAAGAUGUAGUUUAUAAAUAAGAAGUGAUGGGUUACAAUAAGUUUACUUAGAUGGAUUAAUAGAUGAAAUUUUAUUAUGAAGGUGGAUUUGAGGGUAAUUUUAUUUAAAUUUAUAAGAUGAUUUUAGCUCUAAAAUAUGUACAUAUCGCCC